rnacentral:lncRNA from 1 species
GAGGGUUACAAAGCCUUCAUGAUGCUGGAGAGCACAUCUGAUGCCCUCUUCUGCCUUGUCUUCCUAGUGACUUUUAACUAAAGCACGAGUCUGGUUCUCCAGCCUCCCACGAGGAUCAAUCCACUCCUUCGAGUAGUUGAAAAUGCAGUUCAUGAUGCACUUUGAUAGCCAAAGGCCAUAACCGAAGAAAAAUGAUAGCUUCUUCUCUAUCAAACAAAGAGAAGGAGAGUCGAUAAGGGAUUAUGUGGCGUGUUUUAACACUGCC